rnacentral:rRNA from 1 species
UGGGGAAUAUUGGACAAUGGGCGAAAGCCUGAUCCAGCAAUGCCGCGUGUGUGAAGAAGGCCUUCGGGUUGUAAAGCACUUUUGUCCGGAAAGAAAUCCUUGGCUCUAAUACAGUCGGGGGAUGACGGUACCGGAAGAAUAAGCACCGGCUAACUACGUGCCAGCAGCCGCGGUAAUACGUAGGGUGCAAGCGUUAAUCGGAAUUACUGGGCGUAAAGCGUGCGCAGGCGGUUUGCUAAGACCGAUGUGAAAUCCCCGGGCUCAACCUGGGAACUGCAUUGGUGACUGGCAGGCUAGAGUAUGGCAGAGGAGGGUAGAAUUCCACGUGUAGCAGUGAAAUGCGUAGAGAUGUGGAGGAAUACCGAUGGCGAAGGCAGCCCCCUGGGCCAAUACUGACGCUCAUGCACGAAAGCGUGGGGAGCAAACAGGAUUAGAUACCCUGGUAGUCCACGCCCUAAACGAUGUCAACUAGUUGUUGGGGAUUCAUUUCCUUAGUAACGUAGCUAACGCGUGAAGUUGACCGCCUGGGGAGUACGGUCGCAAGAUUAAAACUCAAAUGAAUUGACGGGGUCAUAGCUGUUUCCU